AUGAACGCUGGCGGCGUGCCUAAUCCAUGCCAGUCGAGCGAACAGACGAGGAGCUUGCUCCUCUGACGUUAGCGGCGGACGGGUGAGUAACACGUGGAUAACCUACCUAUAAGACUGGGAUAACUUCGGGAAACCGGAGCUAAUACCGGAUAAUAUAUUGAACCGCAUGGUUCAAUAGUGAAAGACGGUUUUGCUGUCACUUAUAGAUGGAUCCGCGCCGCAUUAGCUAGUUGGUAAGGUAACGGCUUACCAAGGCAACGAUGCGUAGCCGACCUGAGAGGGUGAUCGGCCACACUGGAACUGAGACACGGUCCAGACUCCUACGGGAGGCAGCAGUAGGGAAUCUUCCGCAAUGGGCGAAAGCCUGACGGAGCAACGCCGCGUGAGGGAUGAAGGUCUUCGGAUCGUAAAACUCUGUUAUUAGGGAAGAACAAAGGUGUAAGUAACUAUGCACGUCUUGACGGUACCUAAUCAGAAAGCCACGGCUAACUACGUG
rnacentral:rRNA from 1 species